ACUCAACUGACGAGUCCCAAAUAGGACGAAACGUGCGUCCUGGAU
rnacentral:hammerhead_ribozyme from 1 species